rnacentral:lncRNA from 1 species
GAGGGGUAUGGGAAAGCUAAGAAGGAAAAAGGAAAACAUAAGAGAAAAGGAAAAAAAUGGAAACAAAGUCUCUGUAAAUAGGUAAGCUCGCUCUUCAAUGUCUGAUUUCAUGUGCACACUAUUCACAGUCUGUUCACCUGUCAGAAUGGCUUGUAGGAUUUUUCCUGUUGAGAUUAGAUGUCAGAGUCUACCCCUAGAGGGAGGUACUUGGUCUUUCGUGUCACUUUUUAGAAAUCCCAGAGAGGUCAGAGGUGUUAAGAAGCAGUUCUUUGUUUAAAAGCACCAUGGAAAGUUAGAUUAUUAAUAUCACCAUUAUUAAUAGAACAUAUUAAUGAUGAUGUUGGCAAAGAAGGUAGUUAUAGUAACCCUUCCAAAAACACUUCCUCCCAUUAGGAUGCACAGGCAGCCCCUCUCAGCUGGUGACUGCAUACUCUACACCUAUGGACUCCUGGUUCAUCUCUGUUCCUGGACAAGUAGUCAAGACGCCACCUGGAGGGGUAACAUAUCAAACCUGAGAGAGCCUCUAGAGGCCCACUAGUUCUUUCCUUCACAAUAAAUCCAAGAACCACUGAAGAAACAUGCCUUACUCAAAGUCACACAGGUCCUCUGUUCCAGAGAAUAUCUCUUCUGGUUAUUAUCAAAGAACAGAGAACAGCAGAGCUGUCCCCUUCCUUUCUUCCUAUGACAUUCACUUCCUAAGACGAAUGCUCUUCUCUGAAUGUCACAUUAUUGUCUCAUUCAUUAAAAUCAUCCUUCCAGUAAUGUCCCAGGGUCCCAUACAGCAGCACUGUCGAACUGGCAGCAUCUUCACUCCUCCUGGCAGGAAACUCUGUCUAAGAUCCCUGUACUAACUCCGCCUUGGGCAGCACAAGCAGGAAUUCAGAAGAACCCAACUGUGUCCUUUAACAAGGAAAAGAGGCAAACCACACAAACUCAUGGAAAUCCCUCCCUUGAAGCUUUUCCUUUCCAAAGGCAAAGAGCACAUGAAAGUUAAAAACCUCAUGCUCCCAGGACAGUUCCCUACAAGCCUGGCUUCUUCAUAAUUCAGAGGACUUUCAACCUACGAAACUCUCCAGGCUGAGAAGGAAAGAAGACUCAGUGAAUUUCUCUAGAAUUUCCCUCAAGAGAUACUUUAAAAAUUGCACUGCACUUCCCAACUGUAGCAGAGAGAAGUUCAACAAUCCUUAGCCAUGGCCUUUCCCCUCCAGUCUGUGCACCUCUGGUCAAGUUUUACCACUGUCCUGGGCCUCAGUUUCCCUCCAGACAAAACAAGAUUAUAAAUUCCUCCUCUGUCCCAAAAGACAGUAGGUCAGUAUUCUAUUAAACAAAUGCAUUUUGUGAAAGUACUUGGAAAAAGCCUAAUAAACUCUUAAAAACAUAAAGUG